CAGAGAGAUGAGGCAGCCUUUAAAAACCAGAAGUCAUCAUGAGAAUAAACAGUGAAACAGUGGCACGGUGGCAAUAAGGUAGGACUGAUCGCCAGGUUAUGGGUCUAAAUACUAUACAGCCACCUUUGUGUAAUCAACUGAAGGAGAAAGUCACCUAUAUCCGGAUAUGUCCAUCAGUUAUACCUGAGAACUAGCAACAUCAUUUAGAAAAUCAACAUACUGGGAUACCUAAAACCUAAGCCAUUUUCUUAUUUCCAAUCAUCACUUGGAGGAAGAACAAUAUGAUGGAAUUGGAGGCAAGGACUCAGAGUACUCUUUCUACUGCUAAAACCAACAACAGACCAGAAUGUGCCUGCCUUUUGCAAGGACAAGCUAGGGGCUGCAACAAGGAGUCUGUUCCUCUGGAAAGGGUGGGCAGCAGGGUAGCCCAGGAGCUCAGGGAGCCCACAAUACUCUCUGCAAAAGACAGACAUCAUCAUUGUUGGAUUUCUUUGGCAAGGAACACAGUCUACACUGCAAUAUGGGAGUAGCAGCUGCUUUACCUGGGGUGUCUAUCUUUUGAACUAGCACAUCUGUAAUAAUGUUAAAUGCAUUAAACUUUGUAAACUUAGAAAAUGCUACAAAAUGCAAAGUAAUUUUGUUCUUGUGCUGGUAUUACUGUAGUUAAUGGAGCCAAUUAUUGCUUGGAACAAGAUGGAUAUGAAAUUCAAUAAUGUCCUCAUUUUGCUUCAUUUAAAUGUUUUUGGGUUUUGAGAAGAGUAUUUUUUGCCAUUAAUUCAUCAGCAAUGGCUAUUCUUUAUAGAGUCAGACAGCCACAGUUGUUGAUAAUAAGAAAUUUACUAGCAAACCUUUCACCACAUUUGUUGGCAUGUUGUACUUUGUUAUACCUUCCUAAAGAUGUGAUUAAAAUCAUAAUUAAUUUCAU